GACGAACGCUGGCGGCGUGCCUAAUACAUGCAAGUAGAACGCUGAAGAGAGGAGCUUGCUCUUCUUGGCUGAGUUGCGAACGGGUGAGUAACGCGUAGGUAACCUGCCUUGUAGCGGGGGAUAACUAUUGGAAACGAUAGCUAAUACCGCAUAACAAUGGAUGACACAUGUCAUUUAUUUGAAAGGGGCAAUUGCUCCACUACAAGAUGGACCUGCGUUGUAUUAGCUAGUAGGUGAGGUAAUGGCUCACCUAGGCGACGAUACAUAGCCGACCUGAGAGGGUGAUCGGCCACACUGGGACUGUGACACGGCCCAGACUCCUACGGGAGGCAGCAGUAGGGAAUCUUCGGCAAUGGGGGCAACCCUGACCGAGCAACGCCGCGUGAGUGAAGAAGGUUUUCGGAUCGUAAAGCUCUGUUGUAAGUCAAGAACGGGUGUGAGAGUGGAAAGUUCACACUGUGACGGUAGCUUACCAGAAAGGGACGGCUAACUACGUG
rnacentral:rRNA from 1 species